CCGUGAGGUGCCCGCGGAUUUAAACCAAUCACACACUAUCACUUGCAGAAGUCAAGGAAGAAACCAAGCUCCUGCUAGCAACUACCAAUCCGGACUCCUACUUCGCGGGUUUUGGCCAAUUGCCGCUCACCCGUCCCUGGGGACUGGAGUCGGCGCUCUCGCGCCUGCGCUCGAGAGGAAGACCAAUGGAGAGACGCAGAUAACUUCGAUUUGGGGCUUCAUGGACUUCCCACCUGCCCUCGAGGUCUUCCACCAAUAAGGGCCUGGGAUGGCCUCCGAGAAACAAUAAAUAAGGGAGGGGGCCCACAAACCCUCACCUCCCUGCGCGGGAACUACUUUGAGUUACGAUUUCACUACUUUGGCGAUAGCAGCAUAGAGCUUUGGAGAAGGGCAGUGAGAGUGCUUGGAAGGGGAGGCACCUCAAGAGAAGCAGAUUGGGUGUACGGGAAGACCCAGCCUUUGGGGAACCUAACCCACAUAUGAGGAAGAUCACAAUUCUUCAGGAAGCUUUUGAACAUCUCCAGAGCCUGAACAGAGAGAGAGAGAGAGAGAGAGAGAGCAAGCAGGAAGGCCAGAGAGAGGGAGACAGAAUCCCAAGCAGGCUCCGCGCCAUCAGCACAGAGUCCAUGCGAGGCUGGAACCCAGGAAUGUGAGAUCAUGACUGGAGGCGAAGUUAAGAGUUGGACGUUUACUGACUGAGCUGCCCAGGUGCCCCCACAAUUUAUUUUUUAAAAUUUGGCUCAUUCAGACAGAGGCAAAGGCUCUCUGGUCCUCUUCUCCCGCCUAUUGUCACUCCUUAUAACUUGCCACCUAUUUCCACCUGGGCAUGCGCAGCAGGAACUUUGCAAGGCUGAAUGGCUGCCAAACUUCUUGGCAGAAAUCUGAGCUAGAGUACCCGGUAAAUGCUCCUGAAGUGUUAAUUCUUGUUUGAAAACCAAAAUUUGGUGACCUGCAACAGCUCCCUGUAUACAAUAAUCCUUUGUCAAUGGUCAAAUGAAAUUGUGAAUAAAUAAAAGAUAAAAAUAAACAAAAUAGAUGAAGAUGCGAGGUACUUCGGA